GCUUGUCUCAAAGAUUAAGCCAUGCAUGUCUAAGUAUAAGCAAUUAUACAGCGAAACUGCGAAUGGCUCAUUAUAUAAGUUAUCGUUUAUUUGAUAGUGCCUUACUACUUGGAUAACCGUGGUAAUUCUAGAGCUAAUACAUGCUGAAAAUCCCGACUUCGGAAGGGAUGUAUUUAUUAGAUUAAAAACCAAUGCCCCCUGGGCUCUCUGGUGAUUCAUGAUAACUGCUCGAAUCGCAUGGCCUUGCGCCGGCGAUGGCUCAUUCAAAUUUCUUCCCUAUCAACUUUCGAUGUUUGGGUAGUGGCCAAACAUGGUUGCAACGGGUAACGGAGGGUUAGGGCUCGACCCCGGAGAAGGAGCCUGAGAAACGGCUACUACAUCCAAGGAAGGCAGCAGGCGCGCAAAUUACCCAAUCCCGACUCGGGGAGGUAGUGACAAUAAAUACUGAUACAGGGCUCUUUUGGGUCUUGUAAUUGGAAUGAGUACAAUUUAAAUCCCUUAACGAGGAACAAUUGGAGGGCAAGUCUGGUGCCAGCAGCCGCGGUAAUUCCAGCUCCAAUAGCGUAUAUUAAAGUUGUUGUGGUUAAAAAGCUCGUAGUUGAACCUUGGGCCUGGCUGGCCGGUCCGCCUCACCGCGUGUACUGGUCCGGCCGGGCCUUUCCCUCUGUGGAACCCCAUGCCCUUCACUGGGCGUGGCGGGGAAGCAGGACUUUUACUUUGAAAAAAUUAGAGUGCUCCAGGCAGGCCUAUGCUCGAAUACAUUAGCAUGGAAUAAUGAAAUAGGACGCGCGGUUCUAUUUUGUUGGUUUCUAGGACCGCCGUAAUGAUUAAUAGGGACAGUCGGGGGCAUCAGUAUUCAAUUGUCAGAGGUGAAAUUCUUGGAUUUAUUGAAGACUAACUACUGCGAAAGCAUUUGCCAAGGAUGUUUUCAUUAAUCAGGAACGAAAGUUAGGGGAUCGAAGACGAUCAGAUACCGUCGUAGUCUUAACCAUAAACUAUGCCGACUAGGGAUCGGACGAUGUUAUUUUUUGACUCGUUCGGCACCUUACGAGAAAUCAAAGUGCUUGGGCUUCAGGGGGAG
rnacentral:rRNA from 1 species